AACGAACGCUGGCGGCAUGCCUAACACAUGCAAGUCGAACGAGACCUUCGGGUCUAGUGGCGCACGGGUGCGUAACGCGUGGGAAUCUGCCCUUGGGUUCGGAAUAACAGUUAGAAAUGACUGCUAAUACCGGAUGAUGACUUCGGUCCAAAGACUUAUCGCCCAAGGAUGAGCCCGCGUCGGAUUAGCUUGUUGGUGAGGUAAAAGCUCACCAAGGCGACGAUCCGUAGCUGGUCUGAGAGGAUGAUCAGCCACACUGGGACUGAGACACGGCCCAGACUCCUACGUGAGGCAGCAGUGGGGAAUAUUGGACAAUGGGCGAAAGCCUGAUCCAGCAGUGCCGCGUGAGUGAUGAAGGCCUUAGGGUUGUAAAGCUCUUUUACCCGGGAUGAUAAUGACAGUACCGGGAGAAUAAGCCCCGGCUAACUCCGUGCCAGCCGCCGCAGUAACAC
rnacentral:rRNA from 1 species